rnacentral:rRNA from 1 species
GAUGAACGCUUGGCGGCGUGCCUAAUWACAUGCAAGUCGAGCGAACAGAUAAGGAGCUUGCUCCUUUGACGUUAGCGGCGGACGGGUGAGUAACACGUGGGUAACCUACCUAUAAGACUGGGAUAACUUCGGGAAACCGGAGCUAAUACCGGAUAACAUUUGGAACCGCAUGGUUCUAAAGUGAAAGAUGGUUUUGCUAUCACUUAUAGAUGGACCCGCGCCGUAUUAGCUAGUUGGUAAGGUAACGGCUUACCAAGGCGACGAUACGUAGCCGACCUGAGAGGCUGAUCGGCCACACUGGAACUGAGACACGGUCCAGACUCUACGGGAGGCAGCAGUAGGGAAUCUUCCGCAAUGGGCGAAAGCUGACGGAGCAACGCCGCGUGAGUGAUGAAGGGUUUCGGCUCGUAAAACUCUGUUAUUAGGGAAGAACAAAUGUGUAAGUAACUGUGCACGUCUUGACGGUACCUAAUCAGAAAGCCACGGCUAACUACGU